UGAAAGAGUGUAUGAAAAAUAGAGAAAUAAUGUAAGAAAAGAUGAGAAGUUUAUGUUGGUAUAGUGAAAGAGAGUUGAAACAUAGAAAAAUAUUCUAAGUCUUCAACUAUAUGCAUUAUACAAAAGAGAGUAAUUAUAUGUUGAAGGAAGAUGUUCUUUUUGUGGAGCUUUGGACUCUUCAACUAAUCCAGAGCUGUUUCAGUUGUACGACGUUAACGUUGAUGGGCUAUUGUAUCCUGAAACGGACAAGUCAAGAGUGUUACUACAGGAUCAGUGUAGAUUACACCAUCAGAUAUUUAAUUCUCUCAAAAUAUAUCGGUUACGAUAGUUAUAUUUGUACACCCCUAGUUCAAAGGCCAUACCUAGAGUAUAAGCUCCUUUUGUGGUGAGGCAACAUGCAAAAUUCAUGUGAGAAAAAAGAAGAAGAAGAGGAAACCUUCACACUAUACCGACAAGAUUUUAAGCUAAAUACUAGUAGUACUAGCAAUUUUUUUUUGUCUCCCACCUGGUGUCCGGAGUCCACAUUGGAACUCCGACUAAAUCUGGAUCGUGCACUGCAGGGCUCAUUCGGGGGUGGCGCUCCCAACAUGAUUUUCUCCAUACCCAAGGCUCGAACCCGAGACCUCUGGUUAAGGGUGAAGCACUCCCACCAGUGCACCACAAUCCAUGUUGGUAGUAGCAAUUAAUUGUUCUAGGAAAAGGUCCUUGUGGCAAAUGAAUUUUGGACACUUAAUGCUUCAAUAAUAGAAUGAGUCUAUAAAGACAUUUGUACUAGUCGUUUCCUUGGUGUCAUGUGGUUGCAUUUGUUACCACUUAUCCAAAGAGUCAUUUUCAAUUGUAAUGUGAAAUCUUUGACAUUUCAAAUAACAAGUAUGGGGCUAGAUAUAAUACUCAAUAAUGCACUAUUGAAGAUUGCAUGUU
rnacentral:lncRNA from 1 species